UACGGAGGGUACAAGCGUUAAUCGGAUUUACUGGGCGUAAAGGGCGCGUAGGCGGUAGUAUGGGUGUGAUGUGAAAGCCCUGGGCUUAACCUAGGAAGUGCAUCGCAAACUAUACAACUGGAGUAUAUGAGAGGGUGGCGGAAUUUCCGGUGUAGCGGUGAAAUGCGUAGAGAUCGGAAGGAGCGUCAAUGGCGAAGGCAGCCACCUGGCAUAAUACUGACGCUGAGGCGCGAAAGCGUGGGGAGCGAACAGG
rnacentral:rRNA from 1 species